GACGAACGCUGGCGGCGUGCUUAACACAUGCAAGUCGAACGGUAAGGCUCCAGCUUGCUGGGGUACACGAGUGGCGAACGGGUGAGUAACACGUGGGUGACCUGCCCUGCACUUCGGGAUAAGCCUGGGAAACUGGGUCUAAUACCGGAUAGGACCAUGGUGUGGAUACUGUGGUGGACAGUUUUUUCGGUGUGGGAUGGGCCCGCGGCCUAUCAGCUUGUUGGGGGGGUAAUGGCCUACCAAGGCGGCGACGGGUAGCCGGCCUGAGAGGGUGGACGGCCACAUUGGGACUGAGACACGGCCCAGACUCCUACGGGAGGCAGCAGUGGGGAAUAUUGCACAAUGGGCGGAAGCCUGAUGCAGCGACGCCGCGUGGGGGAUGACGGCCUGCGGGUUGUAAACUCCUUUCACCAUCGACGAAGGGUUUCUGACGGUAGAUGGAGAAGAAGCACCGGCUAACUACGUG
rnacentral:rRNA from 1 species